AGCGGCAACGGCUCAAAUUUGAAAUCUGGCGCAAGCCCGAGUUGUAAUUUGCAGAGGAUGCUUCGGCACGCGGUCACGGCUCAAGUGCCCUGGAAAGGGACGCCGCGGAGGGUGAUAGCCCCGUCAUGGGCCGUCGACCUGCUGCCGUGUGAAGCUCCCUCGACGAGUCGAGUUGUUUGGGAAUGCAGCUCCAAAGCGGGAGGUAAAUUCCUUCCAAAGCUAAAUACCGGCCAAGGACCGAUAGCGCACAAGUAGAGUGAUCGAAAGAUGAAAAGCACUUUGGAAAGAGAGUCAAACAGUACGUGAAAUUGUUGAGAGGGAAGCGUUUGCGAUCAGACGCGUGGGGGGUCGGCUCACCCCGGCCCGCGUGGUCGGGGGCAUUCCCUCCCCCCGCGAGCCAGCAUCGGCUCGGGCGGCGGCAGGAACCGGGCGGGAACGUGACUCCCUCGCGGAGUGUUACAGCCCACCCGGCCUCUUCCGGCCGCCCGCCUGGGUCGAGGCAGGCGCGUCCCAAUGGGGCGCUCGGAUGCUGGCGUAAUGGUCGUAAGCGGCCCGUCUUGAAACACGGACCAAGGAGUCCAACGUCCGCGCGAGUGUGUGGGUGUCAAGCCCGCGCGCGAAAUGAAGGUGAACGAAGGUGGGAAGCUUCCCUCGCCCCCGGGCGGGGGUGGCCGCACCAUCGACCGAUCCUGAUGUCCUCGGAUGGAUUUGAGUGGGAGCGCGGCCGCUGGGACCCGAAAGAUGGUGAACUAUGCCUGCUUAGGCUGAAGUCAGGGGAAACCCUGAUGGAAGGUCGCAGCGGUUCUGACGUGCAAAUCGAUCGUCAAAAGUGGGUAUAGGGGCGAAAGACUAAUCGAACCAUCUAGUAGCUGGUUCACACCGAAGUUUCCCUCAGGAUAGCAGCGGCGAUAUCAGUUUUAUGAGGUAAAGCGAAUGAUUGGAGGCAUUGGGGUUGAAACAACCUUAACCUACUCUCAAACUCUGAAUGUGUAAGAGGCCCCCGUUACUUAA
rnacentral:rRNA from 1 species